CCACAGCCCAACUAAGCUGACCAGGUAGGUCCCUUUCCUCAUGGGAGCUUAGUGUGCAAUGGUUGCUAACAGCACACUCUUUUGGAGUGAAUUCACCCUGUUGCUUAUAUAGGCUACCCUAAGGGACCUGGGAGACAAUU